GGGGCCGACUUGGUUUCGACGGGGGUCGCGAAGCAGUUGAGUGCAUACCGAGGACCAGUUACCUCGUAAAUCCAUCUGGAAUCUAGUAGUCGCCAACGACGAAACCUACGCUCUGGCCGCUUGACGGUCAGACUCCACACCGGUUGGUCCAUGGGCCGGGCUGGGAAACCAGCAGUGGAGUCAUUCACAUGGACUCGCGUUGAGCCGGGCCGCUUGACCCAACGUUAAACCAAGGUGGCUCGCCUGAAAUCAGCCUGUUCGGUCGGCGGGUUCCGGGUCAAAAUCAAAUGACCGGACUAAGUAUGUAGAUCUCGCUGUAGAGGACUUUCGGACGCGGGUUCGAUUCCCGCCGGCUCCACCA
rnacentral:tmRNA from 1 species